rnacentral:lncRNA from 1 species
GAUUUUCAAGCUUAUCUCAUUCUGAAGCAUGCAUAAGGUUCUACUUAUCCUUUUAUUGCUCCUGACUGGUAAGUUGCCUAUUAUAUAUCAUUUAUAGUAUUUAAACAAGUCGGGAUAAGGAUCUCAAAAUAUUGGAAAAGACUGAAUACUACUUCAAACUUGUUUUACUCAACCUGUUUGUGUUGUUGUGUUGACGGGUCGCUGCUAUAAUGUUUUUUCUCCUUUGAUUCAAAACAUGUUGUUAUUACCAAUCAAUACACGUUGGAAAAAAUCCUUAUUAACGUGUAACUUGAAGGAGGUGCGAUUGAGACGCUGAAGUGAGAUGGACACGCUGAAGUGAGAUGGACAUGCUGAGGUGUGAUUGUCUUUAUGACACAUGAUAAUAAGUUUAGAAAAAAAAAUUACUAUUAUUACGAGAGUUAAAUUUAUUGCAUAGAAAGUAUAAACAGUACAUGUUUUAUACAGCUGCAGUAAAAUGCAAUUACAGGGAUCUAUUUCAUUCCUCACUCUCAUUCAUACAAGCCGAAUGGAUUUGUUGCUUCUUUGGAAUAUUUGAAAGUUGGCUCCUUGUGUCCAAACAUAUAUACACUUUAAUGUUACAGGUAUGAACGGAAAUGUAAUUACUACAUAUCAUUAUAUUUCAUUUAAGCUGGAUAUACACUCGAUAAUUUACUUACAAAACAUCGAAAACAGCUUCUGACAAAAAGAAAAGGUACAUCUAAAUAGCAUCUAGGGCAUUUGAACAUGGUAUACAUUGAAUAUACACUAAUUUAAACCAUCGCCCUUUAGCGUUACAACAAACGUACGAAGCUGUAAACAUGAUAGCGUCAUAAUAAAACCAUUGCACUCCCGCAUGAUCAAAAGACACGCACUUUAGCGUAAAACAUUUGCACUUCAGCGUAAUCAUUGAGGUUCAAUGUCAAAUACACAGUGUGUUCGUUUUCCCUUGAAAAUACAUAAUUUUAAAAUACAAUUAAAUUCAAAUAAGCAAUUUGAUGACUUAAUUGAUUUUUACACGAUCUUUGGAUGCUUUGCGAUAACAUGCACCUUUAUCUACACUUGGCACUGACUGUUGACGACUAUCUAGACGUUUCAUAUAAAGACUUCGACCAUCAGUCUCCAAUCGACAUCCGUCUCUCUACACGAAUCCAAGUUCUUUAAACAGUGUCCAAUAUUUUAACACUAUAAUAUAAACAAGUAUGUCAAAAAUUGAGAAAAAUUCUGCUGAAAAUAUAAUAAUAUACUGGUAGAUUGUCAAGGACAGCGGCUAUAGGUACCAGUCUUGUAUUACAAUUCCAGUUUACCGUGCAUGUCAAAACAUGGAGGGGAACAAAAUAGUCCAUUUUUUCUGAAUUUUUUUCUGGACUCAAUUUUUUUCAGUUUAAUUAUAAGUGUAUGCUGAAUUAAAACAUAUAUAUAGAUUUAAAAAAAAAAUGUUGUUUCUUUUUUUGGAAUAUCAAUCCAGAAAAGAUGAAGGAUAUCAUGUUUAUUGGAAGUAGUGCGGCCUAGUAAACACAGCAAAGAGGAAGUAGAAAAUAAUGUUUUGACUUCAGGGUUACCUAACUUUCAUUCUUCGUGGCAUGACCCACUUUUUUUACGAUUAAAUCACAAUUACACAUUACUACAUACAUGAUAUGAACAUGAUUUUUUUUCCAUGUAGCAUUUUUUAUUUUGCAUGUAAGCCUAUGGAGCAGUCAAUUACAAACUGCAACUUUUAUAUUUCUUUUGACAUGGAGGAUGUAUCUUUGGUAGUGAAAGCAUAUAAAUCGAGUUAUUUUGCUAAGAAAAUUAUCAUCAAUUAUUCUGUUUACAUUAACCUGAGAUUGGAAUUCAGAUGUGAAUUUAGAUGUCACGACCUUUUUUUGUAGAUCAAUCUUUUUCCAAGAAUACAUUUUAUGUUUUGAUUUUUAAGAUAUUUUGAUCUUGCAGAUUACAUAUACCAAUAAAAUAUUAUGAUCAGAUGUACUUGGAAUGGAUUUUAUUUUGAUUAUUUUUGCAGUUGGUUUGUUCAAAAAGAAGUCAAAGAAGUUAUCUUUCUUAGUUUGCAAUUUAACAUUUUGAUCCACGUUAUUCAGCAAAUCUAAAAAUACUUCGUUCGACUCCGAGGUAUAUAAUUAGUCAGAUAUAAUUUAUUCAUGCCAUUUUAUGUCAGGAAGGUUAAAGUUUUAAGCAAACCAGAAGGUGGAGUUCUUUGGUUUUUUAUGGAAGUUAAUUAAUUCCAACGAUCACUUGAUUGAAAUUGUCAAUAUCAGUAUCAUUUGGUGGUCUUUUUUUUAGUACCAGUUAUAUAAGUUUAGGCAAAAAUUAAUUCUACAUUUUGGCAAAAAUCAACUUUUUAUGACAAUUGGUACACCGCCACUUUCAUUUUUGGCCCGUCUUUUACCAUCCCAUAAAAUAUGUUUACUUAAUUUCAGUUGUUGAACAAACUACAGAACAGAAAUGUUCUUUAGAAUAUUGUCGUCGAACUCAUGAAGAUGACUGUAGAUGUAGAGGCUGUUGUGGGAGUAAAUUUGAAUGUAACAUUGAUAGAUUUGUAUGUUACAAAACUUGGGAUCGUCUACGUCGAAAGUUGAUUUGUAGUUGUAACUGUUAUGCAUGUAGUAAGUAUUAUUUUUUACAUAUAAAUUUUGGUUGUAUAAACACUGAGAAUUCAUUUUUAAUAAAUAAAAGUAACAAGACGAUUUGCUUAACAUAUAAAUUAAGGAUUUGGUCGUAUGCGUACUAAUUGUAAAUACUUUACUCAAAUAAUGACAACAGUAAAUUAAACACCGGUGAUGGAAAAGUAUAUAUAACAGGGCAAUAUUUUGAAAUUUGGUGAAAUUUUGUAUAGUUUUAAAAAAGACCGUUGAUUAAAAAUAAUGUUGUGGCUGUUAAUACUAUACAAAUAAUUGGUAUUAAGAACAUUGGUUUUUUUUCAAUAGAAAUCAAUAAGUCAUAAUAUGGAGUGUGAAAAAGGGAUAAUGAAUAGAAGAUAAUCAUAACGAUGUGACGCUAAAUUAAGCUGCAAAUCAGUAUUUGUUUUCUUUAUUUUUUUAUACUCAGAUUUUAAAUUGAUUAAACAUGUUAAAGGAGGUGAAAGAUGAUCAAGGGAAUAUCAAAUUAUUAGCCGAAAUCAAAACGACAGUGCCAUGGUUAAACACGAAAAAAAAAACCAGACAAGCAACAAUACACAAAAUAUAACUCAGAAAAUUAAAAGAAUAAGCAAGUCGAAACUUGCCGAAAAACUGGAGUUGAUCUUAGGUACUCUAAAAGAAAAAGCAUAUCCUGCUCCACCCGCGCCAUAAAUAAAAAAAAUGAUGGAAAUCAGCAAAAACGAACACGGUCACUCUUAAUAUUCGCGUUCAAUUUUGGUCACAUUAGUACUCCUUAUUCAUAUAAACUAUUAUGCUAAAAGCUUUAGUUUAGGUUUGUGGUUUAUGUGUGUAUUUAUUCUUUUUUAACAUCAUGGCGAAUUGUCUUCUUUCCAAAUUGUCUGUUGAUUUUUUUUUUGUUUUUUUUGUUCAGUAUUGGGUUUUUUGGUGUGGUUUUUAUUUCAUUUGCGUUUUAUUUUAUUUUUUUCUAAAGUGUUUGAAUGAUCAUUUGGUAUCGUUCGCCUCCCUUUUGUUAUCAAUUUCUUGAUAAAAAGUUCAUAAAUAGGAUUAUACUUUACUUUAGUUUUUUUCGAAACAAUUUAUAAUAAAACAAAAGACAAAACUUUAUUAUCAAGACAAUAUUUUUACUAAAUGUUCUGUAACAAUAAUUAGAGUUUAUUACAGGCAGUAAAGCAAAUAAACUUUAUCAUACACCGUAUUAACAUCAAGUCAGGAUCAAUAAAAUUAGAAAAGUAUUUAUGACAGUAAAUUGUAUUUAACCUAUUCAAGUUUAUUUGCAGCAAAUAGUAUGGGGCUACCUAAACCAGGACGUACCACAACGCCGCUGCAACAAUAAAAUGACACAAUAUUUUCAGAAUGAAAAAUUACAAAAAGAUUGGAGAGAUGUCGGUACUGAAAUAAGAUACUAUUAAAGACUAUUUGUAAUGUUUCUUUUGAUAUUCUUGUGAAUGAAAGUAUUCAAUUUUCCAGAUUUUCCCUUUUUAUUUGUUUUUCUAUUGUUCGUCUUUAA